rnacentral:rRNA from 1 species
UACGGGGGGGGCAAGCGUUGUUCGGAAUUACUGGGCGUAAAGGGUUUGUAGGUGGCUUGUUAAGUCAGACGUGAAAUCCCUCAGCUUAACUGGGGAACUGCGUCUGAUACUGGCGAGCUUGAGUGCAGGAGAGGAACGCGGAAUUCCCCAAGUAGAGGUGAAAUUCGUAGAUAUGGGGAGGAACACCGGUGGCGAAGGCGGGACUCUGGGCCGAUACUGACGCUGAGGAGCGAAAGCGUGGGGAGCAAACAGG